rnacentral:rRNA from 1 species
UUAUUUGAGAGUUUGAUCCUGGCUCAGGAUGAACGCUGGCGGCGUGCCUAACACAUGCAAGUUGAGCGAUUUGCUUCGGUAAAGAGCGGCGGACGGGUGAGUAACGCGUGGGUAACCUACCCUGUACACACGGAUAACAUACCGAAAGGUAUGCUAAUACGGGAUAAUAUAUUUGAGAGGCAUCUCUUAAAUAUCAAAGGUGAGCCAGUACAGGAUGGACCCGCGUCUGAUUAGCUAGUUGGUAAGGUAACGGCUUACCAAGGCGACGAUCAGUAGCCGACCUGAGAGGGUGAUCGGCCACAUUGGAACUGAGACACGGUCCAAACUCCUACGGGAGGCAGCAGUGGGGAAUAUUG